AAAAUGCACGUGAUCAGUAAGGUUAGUCUUUAAUUUUUAAUGUGUUCUCUGUGAAAAUUCUUCACCAAACGCCAGUAUCUGUCACCUCUAGAAACGACGCCAUGCGUUGCGUUGCGUUGCGAGCGGUGGCGCACAGUACGGGCCAGGCAAUGCACUGCGCACUGCUCUUUCUUGCUGCUCCACACAGGGCGCAUGCCCAUCUGUUCUUAGGAGCCGGAAGACCACGGCGAUGCUGCAGCUGAAUCAUCCACAGGAGAAGCGUGUGCUGAGGGCAUUCCCCGGAUUCCUGUACAAACCUAAGCGUCUACUGCUGGUCGUGUUCUCAGAAGGGUCUGGGGAGAACAAAGAUGGAAUCAAUCGAGUUGCCUUGGCCUUGAGACCUGCUUGUGACAUAUUUAGCUGUGCGGCAAAGUCUCUUAGCCUUUCUGGCAUGAUGCCCUCUUCAGGAAGUAAAGCUCUCCACCUGAUUUUUUGAGACAAAAUCUCACUGAACCUCACCUGGACAACCGGGCACUUGUCUAUCAUCUGGAUAAGCCAGCGAGCUGCCCCCACAGUGUCCCUCAUCCCAGUGCUGGAGUACAGGUGUGUGCCUAUAAUGCGGGCUUGCUAUGUGGGUGCUGGAGAGCCAGCGUCUCAUGCAUGUGCGGCGAAUACUUUACGGACUGAGCCAUCAACAGAACUCCGGUCCUCUGCAAGGGCAAUAUGUGCUCUUGAACGCUGGGCCAUCUCUCCAGUUUGCCUCUUCUUCUAAAGCUUCUAAGUCGAAUUCCCAGCCACUCUGAGCUCUGAGCUCUGAAGAGAGGACCAAUGCUAACCAGUACAGACUUCUGUGAAGGAGGCAGGCAGAGGUUAGGCUCCAUCAUGGUGUGACUGCCUGACCUAGUUAACAUCACAACCAUAGGGACCUCAGUCCCCUCAUUAGCACAAUGAUAUCAGCAUCUCUCCUGUAUGAUAUGAGGUUUCUGUAACAGAUUGAAUGAUGCUGUAAGUUCAGGAGAAAUGCCUGCCUAUUAUCAGGUGUUCAGAGAGCUUGCUGGAUCAUAACUUUGACCGUUAUUGUUUUGAACUGAGAUUGUCACACUAGAAAAAUUAGGGAAUUGCAUGUCCAAUUACCAUCUCAGAUUAAUUUGUUCUUCUGGUCUUUGAUGCUUCAUCCAAGGCUUCCCUCUACAAAUAGAUAUUGAGUGCCUGAGUGUACUAUGGCUAUGUUUUACAAUGGUCACCUAAACUAGAACUCAGUACUGGUAAAUUCCUAGCUGGAGCUGUGACAAGGAAUAAGGUCCUCAGAAAUCCAUAGGCCAACCCCACCAAAGGAAUAGCUGAUAUUCCAUAGUGAAUGUGGGCAGUGUCUUUCCUAAUCACGCGCCCGCCUGGUGCCAUGUGGCGUCCUAGGUAGUCCAACUCUGUACCUUAAAUCAGAGUCUAUUGAUGCUCGUCUGUAACAAAAAGAAACUCCCUCACAGACAGGGAAACUCCCUGGUGGAAUUGGGGUCUUAAAGUUAGGAUGUGGUUUCAGUGUGGGACUGGGGUAAAGGAAAAGCAUUGUUUGUACCUCGAUGAUGUGAAGACUAAGGCUGAAGCAUUCUAGGGCUGUUUAGAAGGAGUGGUGCCAUUUGUCCAUGUUGAGGUACUAUGCUCUUUGAAGUAGAUUAUUAUGGGGUUGAUAGGUCAGGAUGGGAUUUCUAGACCAAAGGCAGCCAGUCGACUAAGCCCAAUUAGACACAAUGAGAGAAGAAGCCAGUAGCUUCAUGGGUUUAGCAGAGCCAGUGUUUGAGAGAAUUGUAAGAGCAAGGAAGAGAGGAGGGAGAAGGGAGGGAGAGAGGAAGGGAGAGAGAGGGAGAGAGAAAGAGAGAGAGAGAGAGAGAAAGAGAGAAAGAGACUGUGUGCAGUCAUGCCCUGAAAAUAUUAUUAUACCCAGAAAUAAAUAGUUCCCAACUUUUAAAUAACGUUUAUAAUAAAAUACUGCUAUAACAUUUUUGUCAUUGCUUGUUGCUUUUACUGUGAGCUAAAGUUUAUCAUGAUUGGGUAGAUUCCCGUGUCUGUGGAAUGUUUUGGAAUGUACCCCACAAGGAUAAGGAAGGGUUGCCACACCGGAAGAUAUUUCUGCUCAUCUGCACUGGCUUCUGAGAGUUCCCACCUAUGUCACUCACUCAAACCAUCUCUUCAUCCUUAAAUUACUGCCUCUCCCCUCCCCACCCAUAGUCUGUUUGUCCUUCUUUCUAGUUCCUCAUAACCCCACAUGCUUGUAACAAUGUGUUGCAUACAUCGAGGAGGCAAACCCAUGAACUCUGCAUCCUUCCAAGGUGACCUCAAGGUUCCACUGUCUUACUCCACACCCUGGCUCAAUGCUAGAGUUGGGAAAAUGAGCUAUCCCCACCUUCUCGGCAUGUACUACAGGUCCAUGGGAAAAUGUUAUCUAAUUUAGAAUAGUGUGUUAACUCCAAUUGUUCUAUUCUAAAGAUUUAUAACUGAGAAAAUUACCUAGCAUCUUUAAGAUUCACCUCACUUCUACAGAACGGGGAAGGGAGGGCUCUCUCUCAAACUUUGGCCUCUCUCCUUACCCUAUUCUUAUCUUCUUAUACUUUAAUUUUUGAUGCCACAGUUUAACUUCUUCCACUCUUUUUGUUCUCUGCUAGACAAAGAAGUAAACAGAAACCCAAUCAUCAGAUAAACCAGUCAGCACUAAUGGAUGUUAAUGAUGAUUUAAAGAGUUCGCCUCUCAAGGGGAGGUGCAUUUUAAUAAGUAAAUUCAAUUUCUUAGCUCAAAAAUUAUCAGACGUCUGGUGCCUCUCAGACUCUAAAUACCUGUGGAUUUAAUCCUUUAACCUAGAGGUUCCCCAAACAUUCGCUCGUAAGGAGUUCCAUAGCCAAAUAUAAAUUUAAACUGUGGCAAGCCAAGUUCUGUCUCUGCUUAAUGCACAACAUAAGAAUCUAGAUUAGUUUAGUUCUCAUUCUUGAAGGAAUGGUAGGAUAUGCAAAGUACAUGAGACAGCAAUAUUCAGGACAGCUCACCAGGCAACAAGGCACAGCAGUCCUUGAGAACUGUCAAGGGGGAGUCUGAUGAGCAUUUCAGCUUUCUGCUAAAGAAAACCUCCAGGCCGUGGACAUCCGCAAAGAUCCCACAGGAGUACACAACAGAAUACAGAUCAAUGUGUGAAUCUGAGAAAACUAACUGGGAGGGGCAGAGGGGAACAGCAGUUUAAGUAAUAAAAGAUCACCUUCUUCGCCAGUGUCCAGCCAAGUAAUAUAACCCUCAUCAAGAAGUCUUUUUGUAACAGAUGGAGAUCAUUACAGAAAAACCACAACCCACCAAAGCAUAGCUGCAUGAACCCCACUCUCAAUGGAUUUAUCUACACAACACAACUCCUGCACCCCAGGCUCAAGGAUCAUUGCUGCAGAGGGGUGGAAAGAUAGUAAGAGCCAAAGGAACUGGAGUGCAGUUUGAAGCUGUGUCUCCUAGGCAUGUCAGAAGCUACCCCCACAAAGUCUCAUCGACACGACCGCUUAAACAGUUUGCUGAACAAGAACAACAGCAAUAGGUGUGUGACAUGGAUCUGAGAAAGAACUACGGGCAACUAAGGAAUGCUGGGAGUAGAAGAAAUAGUCUUCUCCAGAGAAGAGUUGCCAAUUGGUUGUCCUCCUAUAAUAAAUGGUCAGCCCUGAAAACGUACAUACAGGUAGCAUUAUAAAGACUAAUGAGGUAGUACUUAUGUAUUUAGGAACAGGGAUCUAGAUAUAUAACCACAUAUACAUGUAUGUGGGUGGCAUAUACAUAUAUGUAAGUAACAACAAUUAAAGAAAAAAGAGAGAUCACAAAUUUGAAAAGACCAAGGAAGAGUGUAUGGGAGGUUUUGUUAGAAGGAGAGGAAAGGGGGAAUAAUGUAAUUAUAUUAUAAUCUCAAAGAACUAAGAAAAAUAAUAAAAUAAUAAUAGAGAACAUUAGAUUCUGGAAAUCGUCAUCUACAUAUUACAGUAGGACCAUUAAGUAAUAUGCUAAAAGAAAAGGCAUGCACUUAAAUUAGUCUUUGUACUCGUUCUUAGUGAAUAACUUUAAAGAGUGAUAGUAGGAAAAGGAAAGGAAGAAAGGGUAGGAGAACUGUGACUACUAUGAUUUCAAUAUAAAAUAUCCCCUGUGGGUCUGUGAGUGAAGCGCUUGCUUCCUGGCUGAUGGCAGGUAGCCUUUCAAGAGCUUCUCCAUGGGGCUUUCCUGGCAGUUGUAGAUUAGGGCAACUCUCUGAGGUUCAACCUGACUCCUGUUCCUGGUUAUUCUUUCUCUGCCUCCUGGUGCACUGUGAUGUAGACAGCCCUACCUCUAUGAAGGGAGUCGCUCUGCCUUCUGUACUAUGACCAAGUAAAACCCUCUGAAACUGUGAGCCAAUGCAAAUCCUUCUUUCCUUAAAUGACAUUGGUCAGAUGUUUUGGUCACAGCAACAGGAAAACGAUAGAGGCCACACCUCUGUUAUAAAUGAUGGCAAAUAUGUGCUAACAUUGUAUUAUUAGGCGAUUUCACUGUGUGUGAACAUCAUAGGGUCCAUCGUGAGUGUGUCUCAAAUUUGACAAAAUAUGGUUAUAUGACAUGUUACAUGUUACAUGUUAAAAAGAUGUAAUCUAGUUAGCGUACAUUAAAAAUUGUAUCCCCAAAGUACAGGAUAUAUGGAUCCUUUUAAAUGCUUAAGGAAUAAUAGUUCAUUAAAAUUAACUGAGUGCUGAACAAGUCUCAAUGUAUUCUCAGGGAUAUAAAUAUUACCAGAUAGAAUAUAUCCUCUUACCACAAGAGAAGUAGUUAACAAAAUCAUAACUAGAAAACUUCAAAUGUUUGAAAAUUAUCAAUGAAGUGUCUAUGUAACUAAAGGUCAAAAGGUCAUAGAAGUUUGAGAAUAUUUCAAACCAAAGACAAUUGAAAAAUAUCACGUAUACUUAGAAACUUGUGACGUAUGAUUGGAAUGGUAUUAGGGUAGAAAGUUGUGGUUUUCAACGCAAAUAUACAAGCGCUUUAAAAAGCUGGUAUGACUUAACUACAUGUUUUAAACACUAUGAAAAAAUAAGAUGAAAUAAUAACAAAAGAAUGUAAUGACAAAGUGAUAGCAAAAAUCAGUGAAAGGAAACCAGCAAUGAAUAGACUCAACAAAACACGAUGUUAGUUUCAAAAAAUGACUGACAGGUUUGCAAACCCUGUCAGGUCUGAGCUAAAAGGGAGAGAAAAAGAAGAGGCACAAAUUUUCAAUAUGAAAAAAAAAUAUAUAACAUGAGACAUCAUCGAAUUUCAAGACAUAGAAAAGGGCUUUAUGCUGACAAAUUUGAAAAUGUAGAAGUAGAAAAUUGCUCACGAAUUCUAACUGAAACACUGAGAGAAGCGGAGAAGCAUGGAUCAUAUGUCUAUUUUAAAACUUCAAAAUCAAAACCCCAACCUUGAAGAUUAAUUCCAGGUCCAGAAGACUUCAACCUGAGAGAGAUAACAAGCUCUCAAGCAGACAAUGUGUAGAGUGUUUGUCUAUCAUCCAAUGUUAGGAGGUUUCCAUGAUGUUGACGCUCAAGCUGAUGAAGAUGCCUUAAGACCAAUGAGAUACCUGUCGGGGUUGCUUGGUGAUGGACGAACUUGCUUUACAUGCAUGAGGUCAUAGACUUGACCCUGGACUGGGGAUUGCGGGUUGAGUGAAUUGCAUGAUUUCUCUCAUAAACAUAUGUGUGACAGCAACCACUUUACUGGCCCUAGAAAUGAUCUUUUUCUUUUAAAGACCUCUAUACUUUACAGAGUUCUAAUUAAAAAAAAAACUAAUUAAACGGAGGGACAUACCAUGUUCAUUGACUCAACCAUGCAGUGUCGGUAAAGGCAUUCUAUAACUAAAUUUCUAUGGGUAAAAAAAAAAGUUUAAAUCUGAUUAUAGUGUUGGUAUGAAAAUGUGAAAGGCAAAAAAUGUAGCCAAGAUAAUCUUGAUAUUUAAAAAGUCGAAGUAAAAUAUUGGAUGCUGGUAUUUUAAAGUCAGAGUAAAGCAAGGGGAUAUUGGUGACAGACCACGAGAACAGGACAGCAACCAGAUAUAACUUCACUUACUUAAGUCAUAUGACUUCUAAGGAGGCGGUGAUGCAGAAGAGAUAGUCCCUUCGUUUGUUUAGUUGUUUAGUAUUCUGACAUGAUGGUGCUAGUUUAUAUGGUUACCUGAGUCCUUAAGUAUGUCCACUCUGCAAAAGGUUAUUCAACACAAAGUACCAAAGCUAUUUUGCCUAUGGAAUUAAUCUUCAUGAUUGACAAAUAACCAAAAAAAAUGACCCAACUACUAAUCCCACACUCUUCUGUUUACAGCGCGACUCAGACAGUGGCUGAAUUUUAAACUCAUUGUUUUGACUCUGCUUCUGCAUCCCUAAUGGCUCUCCCUCGGCUCCACAGAAGGCGAGUCCUUGCACUGGUACUGGUCCCUACCUUGCUCAUUACUUGAGACUGUCAAUCGGCACUAAUAAAGUACAGCAUGAAGACCAGCUCAGGGACCUCUUUUUUCUUGGGUAAAUCAGUGAGAGGAAGGAGCUGCUGUCCUCAACACAGCUCCUUCCCUGAAGGGUAAGGGGCAGUAGAAGGCAGGAGUGCUGUAGGGAUCGGUUGCAUGUUGUCCUUGUUAAGUUGUUUCCAUGCUGUGAGCACUACUAACUACUACACUAACUAACUACUACACUAACUACUUGAAGUGUGGUAACUUAUUUAACACAUUGCAUUUGCAUAACUUACUAAUACACCACAGCCGUGUGAGAUGAGAGUGCUAUUUGUCCUGUGUUUCUGUGAGGAAAUGGAUUCACGUGCAGGGAAGGAGCCUGCCAAGCACCACACAGCUACCAAGUAAUGAAGAGCGUGUGGCAGGCAGGGUGUCCCUCGAGCCUUGCUCUUUACAAGCUAUGCAACAUGCAAACUAACUUCAACACGGUGCGCAAUCUUCCUUGUUUCUUCAGUUUUCAAAGAUACAGAGGAAGGCCCCAGGCCUGAAGACAUUGCUCUAUAGACUCUCCCCCUUCC
rnacentral:sRNA from 1 species